CCUGUGUUAUGCUAUACUGAGAUUUGGAUGCAAGUUCCUGACACUGGCCCCAUGUGUGACACAUAAAACACUUCAGGAGAACUGUGAACCUAGCUACUGUGAACAGGAUGUGGGUAAGCCUGCUCCUUCCACAGAGGCUUGUUCUGGGAGGCAAUAAUUCUUACCUUCCUGGAAUGCUCUCCAGACCACAAGCACAAGGGUCACCAGCAGUAUAGGCUAAGAAGGGAAGGAUACAUGGGAAGGGUUCAGCAUUCCAUCAUGGUUCCUGAUGACACAGUGAUGACAUAAGAGGUGACAUUGAAAAGGGCUUAGUGAUGCUGGAAUAGUGUUACUGCAUUGUGCAUGGAACCUGGAGCUGCCUCAGCCCAUCCAAACUUCCCUGGCUUCUUCCUGGAGAGCCUCUUCCCUGUAGUUGACUGUCCUCGGGAAGACCAGUUCAAGCCUUUAUGGGUACACAGACGGAGAUCUAUGGGGAUCUGCAACCUAGUUGAGGAUCAAGACUACCACACAAGCAGAAGCCACAGAAAUAUCAUCUGCCAAUAGUUCUUCUAUCCAUGGGCCCUGAGAUGAAAUGACUGCUCAACCAUUCAUGAAGUUCCCGGAAUCAUCCCCUGAACUGUGGCUGACGGUCCAGGGCACUGGCCACGCGAGACGGACUCCAAGAAUUGCACAGCUGCCAGUGACCUUCUGAGCUGGGAGGGGCAGCGCAUCUGCCUCCAGGAAUGUGGGGCCCGGAGAUGACACCAGACUGGAAACUCUCAGAGGGCUAUGGCUUUGCUUCCAGAAGAUUCUGAGAGCUCUUGCUCCCAUUACUUGCUAUCCUUCCUAGUGGGAAGCCACCCCAGGUCACCCUUGGCAAGAUCUUUGGAAGGAAAAAUAUCCUAGAGUGUUAGAUCUGAAAGGAAUUGAGCAGACUUGGGGAUUUCAACCAUGGGGCUCUCCCCUCCUCUUCUGUCUGCCCACCUCUGGAGGAUGCAGGGCAACCUUUCACCCAGGGAGCUGUGGUAGCCAUCAACCUCCACUCCACCUUGCCACUUCCUAGCUGUGCUACCCUGGCAGCCUCUUUCCGUCUCAGGUCCCCUGAAAUACAGCACUGAGAAGAAGGCCAUCAUCACAGGCUGUACUUUGUAGAACCCCUCAAUAUUCUGGCCACAGAAAUAAGACCCACUCCAGGCAGCUACCCUCACAUGUCUGUCUGUCAUUCCAUGUCCCUUGCAGCUUAUCCAGGUGGAAACAGCACCCUGUCUUGUUAGCCCCUGAGCCCAACACCUUUGGAAGCUGCUAGAGAGUUGCCUCUGAAGGCCUAGGCCUGCAGAGGCUAUGUGCAAAGCCCAGUCCCCCAGACCUCUCACUCACCUCUCCCUGCCUGGAGACAAUCAGUUUGCAAUCUCUACGAGUGAGGUUCUGGGACUUAAUGGAUCUAGGGGUAGUUGAGCCCUUAGCAGUGUAGUGCAGCAGAAGGUACCUGGGGACACACGGGUUCUAGGAUGGACACAUCUAUUGGUGGGGGCUAGAUGACAACUGAGGGUGACAGGCUAAACCGAGGCCAGUGGGAAGG
rnacentral:lncRNA from 1 species